GGCGGUGUAGCUCAGUUGGUCAGAGCACACGGUUCAUACCCGUGGCGUCAUUGGUUCAAAUCCAAUCACCGCUACCA
rnacentral:tRNA from 4 species